rnacentral:rRNA from 1 species
UACGUAGGGUGCGAGCGUUAAUCGGAAUUACUGGGCGUAAAGCGUGCGCAGGCGGCUUUGCAAGACAGAUGUGAAAUCCCCGGGCUCAACCUGGGAACUGCAUUUGUGACUGCAAGGCUAGAGUACGGCAGAGUGGGAUGGAAUUCCGCGUGUAGCAGUGAAAUGCGUAGAUAUGCGGAGGAACACCAAUGGCGAAGGCAAUCCCCUGGGCCUGUACUGACGCUCAUGCACGAAAGCGUGGGGAGCAAACAAG